AAAUGCACAGGCUGUGAACUCGAUGAGUAGGGCGGGACACGUGACAUCCUGUCUGAAUAUGGGGGGACCAUCCUCCAAGGCUAAAUACUCCUGACUGACCGAUAGUGAACCAGUACCGUGAGGGAAAGGCGAAAAGAACCCCGGCGAGGGGAGUGAAAUAGAACCUGAAACCGUGUACGUACAAGCAGUGGGAGCACCUUCGUGGUGUGACUGCGUACCUUUUGUAUAAUGGGUCAGCGACUUAUAUUUUGUAGCAAGGUUAACCGAAUAGGGGAGCCGUAGGGAAACCGAGUCUUAACUGGGCGUCUAGUUGCAAGGUAUAGACCCGAAACCCGGUGAUCUAGCCAUGGGCAGGUUGAAGGUUGGGUAACACUAACUGGAGGACCGAACCGACUAAUGUUGAAAAAUUAGCGGAUGACUUGUGGCUGGGGGUGAAAGGCCAAUCAAACCGGGAGAUAGCUGGUUCUCCCCGAAAGCUAUUUAGGUAGCGCCUCGUGAACUCAUCUUCGGGGGUAGAGCACUGUUUCGGCUAGGGGGCCAUCCCGGCUUACCAAACCGAUGCAAACUCCGAAUACCGAAGAAUGUUAUCACGGGAGACACACGGCGGGUGCUAACGUCCGUCGUGAAGAGGGAAACAACCCAGACCGCCAGCUAAGGUCCCAAAGUCAUGGUUAAGUGGGAAACGAUGUGGGAAGGCACAGACAGCCAGGAUGUUGGCUUAGAAGCAGCCAUCAUUUAAAGAAAGCGUAAUAGCUCACUGGUCGAGUCGGCCUGCGCGGAAGAUGUAACGGGGCUAAACCAUGCACCGAAGCUGCGGCAGCGACGUUUAGGCGUUGUUGGGUAGGGGAGCGUUCUGUAAGCCGUUGAAGGUGACCUGUGAGGG
rnacentral:rRNA from 1 species